UCCAUUCCCUCCGCCACCACCCGACCAACUCCCUUCGCUCUCGGGAUCCUCCCAGAUCCGAUCCAGCCAACCACGCGCAGCCAUCUCCCUCCUCGUUUUCAUCCUCGAGCCAAUCCCCUCGCUCGAUCCAGCAGCCGUCCAAGCCUUCCCCUUCCUCACCUCGCUGCCGCCUCCCACCUCAUGCCCGAGCCCCACUCGCUUGGCUUGUCCAUCUCCCGCAGCAGCCAAGGCGCUCAAGGUCCACCUCGACCCCAUCGCCGAUCCGGCUGAUGCCGGCGAGCAACAGCAGCCACCAGGACCCCCUCAGUGCCCCUCUCCUUUCCCUUCUUCUCCUUCCCCUUCAGCUCUCUCUAUUCUCUCAUGCAUGUUUCUCUCUCUGUGCCUGUUCUCCACAGCACCGAUGCUACGGGGACCCCGCCGCUUCCGAGCUCCGCGGGCCUGUUGCUGCGUCUGGAGCCCUCGACGGCGACCUUGCCGGACCAGGAGCUCCAAGCUGCUGCCUCGCCGCGGCUCCCGCUGAACCUCGUCUCCACCACCAGACCCGGCCGGCCUUCGUCGCCCUUGCCCGUUCCGGCCGGAUCCCGCCGGCUGGGCCCCGUCCCCAGCCACCGGUGCCCUCGCCGGAGACCAUCUGCGCCGCCGCGCCAAGUCCCCUGCAUCGCAGUGCCACCUGCAUCGAGCGGGACAACCCCGCGUUGACCCCGCGCCCUGCCUCGCGUUGACCAGCCUAGGUCGCUCCUCUGCUGCGUCCUGAAAUGAGUGCCUCGCUCGCUCAUGGGCCUCUGCUUGCCCCAGCCUGCCUCUGCUUCUCCACUUUAGGCCGUGAGGCCCAAUCUUCGGUUUCGUUCCAGAGUUGUGAGGAUUCGUUCGACUACGUCCGUUUGUCUUCUUCAUGGACUCGUUCUUCUUCCUUGCGGGAUCUCAG